CUGUCGAAGUUUAAGAAAGUUAAGGUAGGUUUGGAGCAACGCUGCUGGGCGGUCCCUCGGCAGAGCGUGCCUCUGCGAGUCGCCUCUGUGUCCUCCGUUCGCUGGCGGAGGGGAGCAGGCGCGAGGUGGGCUCCCGGGUCGGUGAGGGGCCGGCGCCCAGUGGGGCAGCGCUGGCGAGGGAAGGGGGUGCAUUUCAGAUCCCUGCUCUCGGAGCUCUGCUGCUCAGGGUCGUAAGACCCUCCAAAUACGAUAGACGGACGCUGUCGGGUAACAUAAACCUGGUUCCGUGAGAAGGAAUUUGUGUGUGUUCAUCUCAAAACGUGGGCAAUAGAAGGAAUUUGCAGUGAAGACACUGACUUAUAACGAGAUGAGGCAAGUUACCAAACUUCCAUAAUGGUGACGUUUAUUACUAAAAGGAGCGAAAUUUUUCUUUAAUCUCGACAGUGUCCCUCACUUGCGGAUAGUGAAGAAUGUAGUAAUGGUAUGAUUUAAACAGUUAUAUUCGUUAAGGAAAGUUAUUUUCAUUUUGGAAGCAACCAAGCCAUUUUUCCAGCUAAAACAAGGGAAGAAAGGCAAAGGUAACGUUUUAACCGCUUCAUCAGUGAGAAAAAUCAGAACACAGUCGACAUUGCCUUUUUGUCAAUGUGCAAAACGAUUGCCUGUAUUAACAGACAGUUUACAUGUACCAGGACAUAAGGAGGAAGAAAAGAAAGUGCAGGUUGAGACCGAUGUGUGAGAGAAUGCACAGGAGGGCAUCUGUGUCAGGUUAGUGGCUUCGCCUCUGGAGUGAGGGCCCACCUGCACGGAACGGACCGUGUGGGUUUACUUCAGCCAGGCUACGUCAGGGGGCAUUUCUUUGGAGAUGGCGGAUGGUACCCAUAAGUAGGGUCCCGCUGGAGGACAUUGUCAGGGAAGCAUGAGAUCAGCAUCAGGGGCACAUCUGCCCACACGUGAGCCACAGUUCUGCAGCGCGGGGCGGACCGCCACGCAGCAGGCCCGGCGGUGAGUGCAGGCCGCAUUGCUGUCACUGGAGCUGGGCUCCCGAGAGGCCCAGUGGGAAGAGCUGGGGGUCCCAGGGGUGCAGGAGCAGCACGGGGGGAGGCGGGCCCCUGCCCCCUGCAUUCACGCCCGUCUCCUCGCUGUACCUGCCCCCAGUGUUGGGAAGCCCUUGCUGGGGCAGUGGAGCGCGGCCCUUCCUGCCCCGUCCCUGCCCUCUGCGGGCCUGGUGUGGGGUGGGAGUCACUCACUGAGCGGCAGUCGGCUGCCUGAUGGUCCUGUUGACGGCGUUCAGAGGGGGGACCCUUGGGCCAGGCCCGUCUCUUGGUCACGGUUGAACACAAUACCUGCCGGAAAACCCUCGGUCUGUUCUGUGGUCCACACGCAGGAGGCCCUGGGAUACCAGCGUGCUCUGCUCUGAAGGGACCAGGAAUUCUCACGCCUGCCUUGGGUGUGUCAAGCGCUGACCUCUCAGGAGGAGCCUGGUGCCUGUCUGACCGUCCUGGCAGGCGUGGAGUGAGUUACUGAAAUGGGCUGAACGAGGAACCGCCAGCGGGUGGAGGGCAGGGUCCAGCCGAGGCCCGUCUCGGCCACUUCUUGGGGCCUCCAGGGUUGGGAUUGUGCUGUCGCCGUGUUGCCAGGCAGUGGCUGCGCACCUGGAGACCUGCACCCACCUGUGACAGGCAGGACGGGAAGGGUGUGCACAUGUGGUAGCCGUGUGAGCCCCGGCUUGCCGUGAGGGGUGUGUGUUGGGGGGUGCGAGAGGGGUGCUGCCCCGGGCCCAGGCCCGAGCCUGCUCACCGAGGCUCGCCCGGGGCUGGCUGCGUCCGCACCGUGGCCCACCCCCGGGGGCGCCCGCUUCCCGGAGGUGUGGGACGACCUGGGACAAAACGUGUUGCCUGUUUGCAUCCCAGGCGCUUCCACGUUGGGGUGGAAGCACACUCCAGAAGCUGCGUCUGUGCUAACGCGUGUGCCGGUUCUGGGGAGCGUUUGGCAUUGCUUCCAUCGUCCUCAGGGGUGUCCACCUGCUUUGGGCCCCCCUCCGUGCGGCCGUCUCCUUCCUGCUGUUCCCCUGGGUGCCCGGCAGCCCCUGCUGGAGGACGGGCCCCAGCAUCUCGGUGCCCGGCGCCUCGUACCCACCGUCGAGGGUGGUCCACGUCCUUGAGGUCAUGUUGUCCGGGCUCGUGGACAUGCUGUACAAGAGCAGCUUCGUUCUCUGGUUUUACACAAAGGCAACUGCACUUUUUCUUCUUUGAAGGCUGAGUUAGUGACACUAGUCGGCACUUGGGACUGGUGGUUUUUCAGUCUUUGCUUCCUGCCCGUUUCCUGACACCUGGACAGCCCUGGGCAGGAGAGCGAGACUGACCAGGCCCCGAGCCUGGCUCCCGCUCCCUCCUGCGCCCUCCUCUGGACUCUCGGUCCCCCUACGUAACUGACCAGCAGCACAUCCUCGUCCCUGGCAAGAUUAACAGUGACUCUGUCGUGGUGCUGACUCGAUGUCACGACAGGACAAGCUGGAGGCUGUCGGUGGACUGCGGGUGGGCGGCCCGUGUGGCAGUGAGAAGAGAGGUCGUGACGUCUGGGAGGCACCUUUACGACGGGGUGUGGACAGUCCUUGUAUUUGGAGCCCUCUCAGCCCUCCCCUGGAACGGCUUCAGCCACGGGCAUUGCGUUUUUGUGGCCAUGCUGAGCUUUUCUGCAUGGACACCAUCUUCCUCGUCAGUCGUUCGGGUGCAGGUGUCGCAUACCCUGUGCAGCGUCCUCUCCCGCUCUCGCAGGUGAGGUGCGGGUGCAGCUUCCCAGCCUGGGGGUGGGGGAUGGCCGGGCGGCGGGGGGGCGGCCUGUCCCCCACUCCCCGGCUCAGUGCAGGUAACUCAAUCUCAGCCUCUGGUUUUCACAUCUCAAGCACGGAAGCAGCUGUUAGGGGAGAAGAUGACUCUCACGAGGUUGCUCUGGGAUUAAUUAAAACCUGUCAGCGCUCUGCGCCACUAGGGCCUCGCGCCAGCAUCUGUUCCUGCCCUGUCCCGUGUGUCCACCAGGAACGCGCCCGGCAGGAGCGGGGUCAGCCAGCCUGGCCCAGAGGGAGCUCACAGGCGCACCUGUCAGUAACCCGGGCCUCCGGCAGGUAGGAAAGGCUGGCCAGGCUGAGCGAAAGCUUUAGGCCUGUCUGCGGGGCAGCCUGGUCUGGAAACCAGGUAAAAACUAGCUUUUAGGGCCUCUCAGACGCAGUACGUCGUGGUCUCCGCGGAAUCCACUCAGAAUUCACCCGGGUGUAGGGAAAUGGCAGUAACGUGGGUGCUGCUCUGGUUCUCAGUUGUGUUACUGGCAGCCGGACAAGUGAUGGGGCGCCGGCCAGCCCCAUGGGAGCCCCCAGCCCUGAAGCCACUGCUUGCCUCAGAUGACGGGCAUUUGUGCUGUUGCUUUUCUAUGUAGCUAUGUUACCUCAGGGUGUGUGCAUGUGAGUAUGUAACCUGCCUGUGUAGGUACCAUUUUGUGUCAUGCAGUUACUGGAAUGCACAGAAGUCUUUCUCAUCUUCACAAAGCGUUGCAGAUGGAAUCACCAGACACACACCCCAGCAUGGACGACGCAGAGAGCUGCGAAGAGCAGGCAUGUUUAUUUGGUUCCCUCCAGGGCUGCGGCAGCCACGCGGUUGUAAAAAAGGAACGGAGAGUAAGAUGUACAAAAACGUGAAAUAUCCUUUUAGAAAGUAACAUCAUCAGCCAUGUGUUUCCUAUGGAUCCUCCCUCCCUCUCCUGUGUCCCCACGCCCUGAAAGAAGACCCCCAAGCGCAACCAAGCUGUGAGAAGGAACAGGGGGAAUUGUCAAGCCACUUGGGUUUCAACCACAUUCCUGUCCUGGGACCCGACCAGCUCCAGAGUAUGGAUGAGGCAUCUGGAAGAAAUAUGCAUAUCUGUGAGGGAAGUCGAGGCAGGCACAGGACAAGAAUGUG